rnacentral:rRNA from 1 species
GACGAACGCUGGCGGCGUGCCUAAUACAUGCAAGUCGAACGCACAGUUUAUACCGUAUCUUGCUACACCAUAAACUGUGAGUUGCGAACGGGUGAGUAACGCGUAGGUAACCUGCCUGGUAGCGGGGGAUCACUAUAGGUAACGAUAGCUAAUACCGCAUAAUAUUGAUUAUUACAUGAUAAUUGAUUCAAAGUUGCUAUUGCAUCACUACCAGAUGGACCUGCGUUGUAUUAGCUAGUAGGUGAGGUAACGGCUCACCUAGCCGACGAUACAUAGCCGCCCUGAGAGGGGGAUCGGCCACGCUGGGACUGAGACACGGCCCGGACUCCUGCGAGAGGCAGCAGUAGGGAAUCUUCGGCAAUGGACGAAAGUCUGACCGAGCAACGCCGCGUGAGUGAAGGAGGUUGUCGGAUCGUAAAGCUCAGUUGUAAGAGAAGGACGGGUGGGAGAGUGGCAAGUUAACACUGUGACGGUACCUUACCAGAAAGGGACGGCUAACUACGUG